UACGAGGGGGGCAAGUGUUGUUCGGAAUUACUGGGCGUAAAGCGCGCGCAGGCGGUUUUCCAAGUCAGUGGUGAAAGCCCGGAGCUCAACUCCGGAACUGCCAUUGAAACUGGCGAACUUGAGUACGAGAGAGGUGAGUGGAAUUCCCAGUGUAGAGGUGAAAUUCGUAGAUAUUGGGAAGAACACCGGUGGCGAAGGCGGCUCACUGGCUCGUAACUGACGCUCAGGCGCGACAGCGUGGGGAUCAAACAGG
rnacentral:rRNA from 1 species